AAAUGCGGCGUGCUACCAUGCAAGUUGAGCGGAGAUAUAUGGAGCUUGCUUUAUAUAACUUAGCAGCGAACGGGUGAGUAACACGUAGAUAAUCUAUCCUAUACUGGGGGAUAGCCCGAUGAAAGUUGGAUUAAUACCGCAUAUAGCUAUAUAGUUGCAUGAUUAUGUAGUGAAAGAUUUAUUGGUAUAGGAGGAGUCUGCGGCACAUUAGCUAGUAGGUGAGGUAAAGGCUUACCUAGGCGACGAUGUGUAGCCGGUCUGAGAGGAUGAACGGCCACAAUGGAACUGAGACACGGUCCAUACUCCUACGGGAGGCAGCAGUGGGGAAUAUUGCACAAUGGGGGAAACCCUGAUGCAGCAACGCCGCGUGAGUGAAGAAGGUUUUCGGAUUGUAAAGCUCUGUUAGCAGGGAAGAGGAAGGACGGUACCUGCAGAGGAAGCCACGGCUAACUACGUGCCAGCAGCCGCGGUAAUACGUAGGUGGCAAGCGUUGUUCGGAAUAACUGGGCGUAAAGGAUGCGUAGGCGGUUAAACAAGUUAUAUGUUAAAUAUAUAGGCUUAACCUGUAGAAAGCAUAUAAAACUGUUUAACUAGAGUGCAGGAGAGGUAAGUGGAAUUCCUAGUGUAGCGGUGAAAUGCGUAGAGAUUAGGAAGAACACCAGUGGCGAAGGCGACUUACUGGACUG
rnacentral:rRNA from 1 species